GCUUCCUUGGCCCAGUCGGUUAGUGUGUCGUAUUUAUAAGCAGUUCUGAAGUAUAUGCGAAGGUCGAAGUUUCGAUACAAUAAGUU